UUGAUUUUCCCCUUUCUCUCUACAAUUUUAGUCCCAUAGUGUCGCAAUCUUUCUCAGUGUCGUCGAACCCUAAUUCUCUCUCAGAGUCCAGUCCACUGAUGGCUUCGCAAAUGGCGAUCUUCUUCCGCACGCGUUCUAUUCUCUUCUCAAAACUCUCUUCCCUCGUCAAAACCAUAUCCACUUUCCCGUCCUCUCGCAGGAGCCUCAGCUGGCGGAUCCCGCUCCUCUCCCUCCUAACCUCGCCUCCGACAGCCCUUUCUACCACCAAAACUGGCGCAUCUCUUCCUCUCUUUAUUUCUUUCUCCUUUGAAACCCUCUCUUCCUGAGAGAUUGGUUUUUCACAACGACGAGUUUAAGGGUUUUAGGGCUGGCUAGGUUCAGAAUUGACGACUCGUUUUUGGGUGAAAAUGGGUGCUUGAUGGUUCAAGCGUUGGUGGAUUCCGAAGGGAGGUUCGUGGAUAUCUCAACUGUGUGGCCAAUUACCAUGAAUCCUGAAACCAUUUAGUAACACUGGCAAGUACUGGUUUGGGUGGUAAACUUUCUGGAGAUAUUGGAUCACUGUCUGAAUUGGAGAUUUUAAUCGGGCACAUUCCUGUGAUUGAUGAGAAGGGGAUGAUUGGAAUGGUGUCCAUUGGAGAUGUGGUUCAUGUUGUGGUGCGCGAGCACCGUCAAGAGUUUGAGCAUUUGAAUGCUUUCAUACAAGGGGGUUAUUAGAUGUUGAUGAUGGUGAAAAUCUCUGAAGAGCACUGAAGCUAAUUUGGAUUAAGUAAUAAGCCUGAGUGUUUGUAAAUAUGUUUGUGAUUUCAGUUCUAUCAACAUUAACCCCAAUGGUGUAGCAGCAUGUUAAUAAUAACAACUGGAUGAAUUUUGAAUCUGUUUUCAACUCUCGAAAA